rnacentral:rRNA from 1 species
UGGGGAAUUUUGGACAAUGGGGGCAACCCUGAUCCAGCAAUGCCGCGUGUGUGAAGAAGGCCUGCGGGUUGUAAAGCACUUUCAGUAGAGAAGAAAAGCCUAAGGUUAAUAACCUUGAGUCUUGACGUAACCUACAGAAGAAGCACCGGCUAACUCCGUGCCAGCAGCCGCGGUAAUACGGAGGGUGCAAGCGUUAAUCGGAAUUACUGGGCGUAAAGCGCACGUAGGUGGUUUUGUAAGUCGGAUGUGAAAGCCCUGGGCUCAACCUGGGAAUUGCAUUCGAUACUGCUUAACUAGAGUAUGGUAGAGGGAAGUGGAAUUUCCGGUGUAGCGGUGAAAUGCGUAGAUAUCGGAAGGAACACCAGUGGCGAAGGCGACUUCCUGGGCCAAUACUGACACUGAGGUGCGAAAGCGUGGGUAGCAAACAGGAUUAGAUACCCAUGUAGUCCCUGAGCGGGCUGGCAAGGCGCAU